rnacentral:lncRNA from 1 species
CAAAAUUAGCCGGGCAUGGUGGCACAGGCCUGUAAUCCCAGCUACUCGGGAGGCUGAGGCAGGAGAAUCACUUGAACCCGGGAGGCAGAGGUUGCAGUUAACCGAGAUCGUGCCACUCUACUCCACCCCGGGCAACAGAGCGAGACUCUAUCUCAAAAAAACAAAAACAAAAACAAAAUCUUCUGGGUUUCUCAAUUUUUAAGAGGGAAAAGGGCAUAAGACCAAAAAACUUGAGAACUGCCGUGUUAGGUGAUGGUUCUCUGUUAGAUGUGUUAGAUGACUCAGAAAAGAGUACCUGGGAAGGCCACUGGGGCACUGGUGAAGUGUCCCCUCUUGUCUGCUGGAGACAUGGUUGGAAGCUUACAUACCUGGUGCUGUGUGAUGCUUCUCCGCCAUUCUGCUCUCCAUUCCUGCUUUCAGGAAAACAAACUCUAAACUCCCUGCUUGGCUUUCAGCGUACUUGCUCCAAUUUACACCUUCAGUCUGGUCUCCCUCCCUCCCCACCGCAUUCAACAGGGCUUCGUUACCCUGGCUUUUUCCACCCCUCUAUGCAUUUGCCCUCUGGUGUGCUCUGCCUAGAAACUCUCCCCUAUUCCUCUCUCCUCAGUAGGCCAACGUUUAAAACCCACUUCAACGUGGCCAGGCGCGGUGGCUCACGCCUGUAAUCCCAGCACUUUGGGAGGCCGAGACGGGCAGAUCACGAGGUCAGGAGUUCGAGACCAGCCUGGCCAACAUGGUGAAACCCCCGUCUCUACUAUUAGCUGGGCAUGGUGGCAGCGCCUGUGGUCCCAGCUACUCGGGAGGCUGAGGCAGGAGAAUCGCUUGAAACCAAACAACGUUACAGGCUCUGUGAAGGCUUUCCUGCCCCAGAGUCAGCAGAGGAUUGUUCCCUUGUUCCACUCCCUGAACAUGUGGUACACAAACGAGAAACCAAUGGAAUGAGCCACUUGUCAAAGUCAAAGAGAGUCC